rnacentral:rRNA from 1 species
AACAACGCUGGCGGCGUGUCUUAAGCAUGCGAGUUGAGCGGCAAGGAGGAGAGAUCCUCCCUAGAGCGGCGGACUGGGUGAGUAACGCGUGGGUAAUCUAUCGUAGGCAUGGGGAUAGUCACUAGAAAUGGUGGGUAAUACCGAAUACGUUCCAUGAGGGGAGUAUUCAUGGAAGAAAGGGUGCUACGGCACUGGCCUUAGGUGAGCUCGCGUCCCAUUAGCUAGUUGGUGAGGUAAAGGCCCACCAAGGCGAUGAUGGGUAGCCGGCCUGAGAGGGUGUACGGCCACACUGGGACUGAGAUACGGCCCAGACUCCUACGGGAGGCAGCAGCUAAGAAUAUUCCGCAAUGGACGAAAGUCUGACGGAGCGACGCCGCGUGGAUGAAGAAGGCCGAAAGGUUGUAAAGUUCUUUUGCUAGGGGAGAAUAAGUGAGGGAGGGAAUGCCCUCAUGAUGACAAGGACUAGCGAAUAAGCCCCGGCCAACUACGUG